rnacentral:lncRNA from 1 species
CUGGCAGGGGCACUGUCUCGGGGCCUCCUGCGCGGCAGCCCGUGGCCGUGGAAGAGUCGCGGGGCCCAGCGCCCACAGGAGGAGGCGCAGCGGCCCUUCCCGUCGGACACCUCUGAGGGCAGCCCGAGCCCGCCCUGCUGGUCCGGUGUCUUGGUGAGUGGGGGCCGCGCAUCUCUCGGUGUGUGUCUGGGUGUCCUGGUGCAGACCGAGUGUGGGUGGCCCUGGAAGUCUCUGUCUCCUGCACAGAUCCCAGAAGCACGGGCGGUUCCGGCCCUGGACGGGGCCUGGGUCGUGCAGGCUCCAGGACAGAGCCUGCCCACUGAAGGACCGCCGGCCGCGGCAUCCCUCUGCUCGGGUGCAGGCUGGAGCCACGGGGUCAGACCCAGGCCUGGAGCCCUCUGCCUUUUCUCUGACCUGGGAGCCCCUGCCCGGCCGCCUGGAGGCUCAGCCCGGGUCCCUAACCUUGUGGGCCUGCUGGUGACCAGGGAAUGCUGGGACCAUGGCUGAAGCACACAGAUGUGGCCAGAGGUGGCGCAGCCCCUGUCUCUCGCUUGUCUGGUUUGCAGUUGUGGCUGCCGUUCGUCACCAUCGCAUAACUAUGGCCCAAGCAUGAGACCCCGCCUUUGUUUCCAAACCGAAGGACUUCGUUGAGUGUCACUUUGCAGUCAUUCUAUUAUGGCUGCUUGAUCGUGGCUGCCUGGCGCUCGGGGCAGCUAGCUCACCCCAGCAUCAGUCAGCACCCGCCUGCUGCUCUCUCUCG